AGCAGCCGCGGUAAUUCCAGCUCCAAUAGCGUAUAUUAAAGUUGUUGCAGUUAAAAAGCUCGUAGUUGAAUUUCGAGAUCAAAUUGUUGGUCGUGCCUUGGUACGCACUGGCAUUAUUGGUUUCUCCCUUCUGACGAACCAUGAUGUCAUUAAUUUGGUGUCUUGGGGAAUCAGGACUGUUACUUUGAAAAAAUUAGAGUGUUUAAAGCAGGCUCACGCUUGAAUACAUUAGCAUGGAAUAAUGAAAUAGGACGUUUGAUUCUAUUUUGUUGGUUUCUAGGAUCGACGUAAUGAUUAAUAGGGAUAGUUGGGGGGCAUUAGUAUUCAAUUGUCAGAGGUGAAAUUCUUGGAUUUAUUGAAGACUAACUACUGCGAAAGCAUUUGCCAAGGAUGUUUUUCAUUAAUCAAGAACGAAAGUUAGGGGAUCGAAGACGAUCAGAUACCGUCGUAGUCUUAACCAUAAACUAUGCCGACUAGGGAUCGGAUGAUGUUAAAUUUUUUUAAUGACUCAUUCGGCGCC
rnacentral:rRNA from 1 species